AAAUCAUUUAAUUUUUAAUUUUAAUUAUUUAUUUUUAGAACAUACAAACUGUAGUUUAUUUACUUUUUGCCAAGUUAAAAAUUUAUCUAUGUAAAAAAACACAUUAUAAAGAAAAAAAUAUAUUCCCACAUAAAGAACAAGAUUUCUUUACUUCGUGCAAACAUUAUUUACAAAUAAUUAAUUAAAUUUGUUUAACGAUUCACAUCAUAACUGUAAUUUAAUCUAAAGUAAUCUAAUUUUAAAAACUUGUGAAUUUCUAGUUUAACAUAAAUAAUGCUUUUCAAAAUUAAAGCUUUCGAUGUAACUUAAAUUUAAUCUUAACUUUUAUUAUAAAUUUAAUCAGAACAAUGUUACAAUAUUAAAAUGAUAAUCAGUUGAAUUAAUAUUGACGCAAAUAAACAUCUACAAGAUCCCGUCCGACGCUCCAUUCCGAUCACCUGUAAAAAAUCUGUUGCGAAAAAAGAUUUCUUUGCCUGUUUUUCAAGUAUGCGAAAGUCUUGGCGUAAAAACGUAUUUUCGGUCGACCUUCGCAUCUCGCACGUGGCUAUUUAAAAUUUCAAUAAUGUUUGGCUUUCCAUAAUUACGUGCCGGCACACGUAGACCUUCUGCGCGAACGUCACUUACAUAUUUUUAAGACGAUUUUGACAUAACAAAAGUGAAACUUUCCUUUUUAAUUUUAUUUUGGACUGUGUUAGUUGUCAGUCUAAAAUAAAGAUGACAAGGUGCACGCAGAUGGUACAGUGCUUCUCAUUUUGCUCAUUGUAAUUUAGAAUAAAUGAACGCUGCUUUUUAUCGUCUGAUCGGAAGUCUAGUUUCUACCGUGACCCCGAUCGAUUGACGACGAAGGUGGUUUUCCUCGAGACUCACUGGCCGUGCGUUGACUUUGUAUCGGCGAUCGAUAGUACGCGGUGAACAAACCGUCUGCACAACUGCCGUCACGCGGGUUAAAUUUAACUGGAGAGCGGAGUUCUAAUUCUUGUUCUUACGCGCGCGGAUAAUAAACGGGAUUUAUGCGUUUCUGGGAAUUUUCUUAAAUUUCUUUCGCAUUUCCCUUACAGAAAUUCAAUGCUGUCAGUAUGUUUCUGUAAGGAAUCUAUAGGAUUUCUGUAAGAUUUUUAUGCCGUGUGAUUGGAGAUUAUCACAUAUUUGUUUUUUAAUGUGAUAAUUUACAUACAUUUGUGCCGUUGAUUCUGUAUUACGAAUAAGCAGUUACCAGUGAAAGAUUGGAUCGAGAAAAUCCGCUACUUCUUAUGAAAGAUUUCUCCAUGGUAACAGAAUUUAAAAAUGUCGUAAAAAUCGACAUUUGCACAAGCCUUUUUACGAUCUUCUGGAUCCUUUAUUCCGAUUGGCUCUUCAUUCACUGUUUCGAAGCCGAAGAUCGUUGAAAUGGGUCAUCUUUCUUUCGUAAUCGAAACUAGUUGUUUAAAAACUGUUCACUCCCUCUCCCCCCUCCCAAAUUUGUUUAGCUUGCGCGGUCAAUCGCUUCGUGACAUGUCUGGCGACAAUGGCAAGUGGCACGGCGGCAGCGGCACGCAACGUCAUGGAAAUUUCCUGAACUGACACCUUUCCUCUUCCUAUCUUUUUCUGUUUCUCUCUUUUUCUUCUCUGUCUUUUUUUCAUGUCGCGUUUCCCCUUCUUCCUUCCGUUCUCUCCCUACUAUUCUUUGCCAUUCCCUCUUUCUAGUCCCGUUCUUCGCUUCUGCCACUAUUCCAACGAAUCUGAUACGCCCCACGUUCCUGAACCGACCGCUUGACGAUCUCGAUGAUUUUGGCCGGCGCUGCGUUCGGUCUGACGCCGUCUCUCUCGCUUUUUCCACAAAAGGCGAUUACAAGAUGUCAUGAACGCAGACGCCGUUAAUUGCCGUCACCGCAAAGAGAUGUGCCGGUUCUGAGUGUGCAUCAAGGCGUGACCUUGACUACAGCAGGCUCACAUCUCCUUGAUCCGCAUUGAGUAUAGCUUUUUCUUCCUCAUUAAAACUUAAUGGAACGCUCCAGUUAACUCGACUUUGCGUAUUUAAACUUCCGCUCGCGGAACAUAUAAUCGUAGUUUGUAGAAAAAAAAGUAGUAUAUCAGAUCAAUAAUCGUCUCAGAUCAGAGAAAAAAAAAACAAUAUGAAACAUUAGUACCAAGUUAAAACUGAUAUAUUCUCUCCAACAACCAUUGGUUCACAUAUACGCAAGGAAUUAUAUUCUUGCUUACAUAUGAAAUAAUGAGAAUCUACAUAUAAAUUUAUCUUCUUCAAAAAAUUUGAUAAUCUUGAAUUUCAGUAGAAUAUUAUAUUUUUAUUUUAAUAUUAUAAUAAUCUUCUCUAAAGGGAAUCAUACGACUAUUUUGAUAUUAAUAUUACAAUAAUAAUACUUAAAUCUCAUUAUCUUGAAUAUAAUCUAACAGUAAACGUUUUCUAGAAAUUGAAAGAAAAAAUAUUUGAUUAAAAAUUGUCUCUUCCUUCAUUUUCGUAAAUAUUUCAAUGAAGAAAUUUGUUAACUUGACCGCAAGUAAAUAAACUAUUAGGACUCAUCGUGUAAAUAAUUCUUUUGGGUUAAGUAAAAUUUUUCCGUUCUUUUCUUUCUCUCUUAAUACACGCAUUUAUAAUUUAUUCAGAUCAGCGAGCUCCGCCAAGUGCAAAUUAUAUAACUGUAUAACACACUAUACCGAGAAUUCCAAGUAGGUAUGAUUCAUGUGCCGGUACACGAAUACGAAUUCAUCUAUUUCGCGUUCGCAAUUAAGUUUCUUGCGUGCACGUGUCGUAAGCAUCGAGCUGCGAGAAGGACGAGCAAAACCGGCGUUCAGUUGCUGAAGCUCGCGGGAGUUCAGUGGUCUGCGAGGAAUAGAAGUCACGCGAGUCGUCUCGAGACACUAUAUCGGGUGUCCCGGUGAAACUGGACGUCCUUCCGAAACGAGAUGUAGCAGCGAUAGCGAUCAGCAGCGAAUUAUUGGUAGAGGAGAACUCGCCUGUCCGUGAAGGGCGACGCGAACUAGGCGCAGCCUUUUCGCUGGUUGUUAUAUAAGGACCAGACCAGUCGAGAUUAGUUAUUCAAACGAGGCAGAAAUCUAAAUAUCGGACGACGGCAAAAAAAAGACGAAAAUACUAUUAACUUGUCGCGAAUCGUCCCGAGUAAAAUCAUGUUUAAAUCAUGAUGGCAGCGUUUAUUAUUCUUCCGCCGCUUUAUUGUCUUGAGUGACAAGGCAUAAUUGCACGAAUUUGAUUCGUCCGGAUCACGAUUUGGCCGAACCACGCAAUCAGAUUAAGAAGGUCAAUGCUGUUACCAUCCAGUUCAAUGUACAUGCAUGGUGCACGUGUGCGCUACGUGACAGCUGUAGAACAGCUUGUUCCUUAACCCUGCGUUGGUAUGGUGGGGUAUGAUACACCCCGUGCAUGCAAGUCAAUUAAUUUUAAUGUUCAGUAGCUGUAGGUUAGGUUAGGUCUAGCAUCAUUCUAUCGUGUAGCAUUGUUAUUUCAAUAAUUUUUUAAAUAUCAUCUUACAUAAACGUAGAAAUAUGCAGCAAAGGUAUGUCAUACCCCACCACACCAGGCACGGGCAAUAGCAGGAACGAGAGUACGAGACUCCCACGCGGGUGCAGCCGUGCGUAACACACCGUUUGUCGGGAUGAGGAUGUGACGUUGCUGUCAGAUUUGUCAAUUCAUUAUUUCGCCGCCGCCGCCGCCGCCGCCGCCGCAGACGGUUAGUUGAUUCGCAUUAGAGCGUACAUAUAUACAUAUCUAUAUGUAUAGAUGACACGCGGCGCGACGGGUUGGGAGAACAGCAAUCAUUCAGACUGGGUCUCGCAAUUCGCCGUUAUUGUGGCAUUGAAGUCACAUGCUUUGUGCCGAAAGAAACGCAAAAGCCGCGACCUUUAAUAUGUCGCAAGUUCAAUAGAGAGCCCAUUGCGCUGAUUUACGAUUCGGGACUCACUCGUUAAACAAGUCUAUAUUUGGACACGGCCAUUUUUAUUGACAUUUGAACCGAUUAAACCUUUUUCAAUGGUAGCGGCGAUCGAAAUAUCUAUCGGAAUCAUACUGGCACGUUCCAUCGCGGUCUAGACUUUGAUCAUUGAACGCGAAAGUCCAUUAUACUUAUUAAUUUCAAUUUCGUGUGAUGCGCGCAAACUUCUACACAGAAGAAACAUUAUCAAGUACUAGUAUCAAAUUUAAACUAAUAUAUUUUAUUUAACAAUCAUUAUUUUAUAUAUAAGCAAAAAUUAAAUUACAUUCUCAUCUAAUGAUCUUGCAUAUAUAUAAUUCAAUCUUCUUUAAAGUCAUUGAUAAUCUUCAAUUUUAGCAAAAUAUUUAAUUUUUAUUUCAAUAUUUUAACAAUCAUUUAAAGAACAUAAUUUGAUUGUUUCAAUAAUAUUAUUAAAAAAUUCUAAUUCUUUUGUAUGUGUGGUUUGAGAAUAUUAUUUUCAGCUGAUAUUUUUUUCUCUUUGACUCAUAAAACGUAUUACUGACUAAUGAGAACACACAAUUUUUUUAAAUAAAAUUAUACAAAAUUUCUCCGUGUAAACAAAUUGUAUCAUUUAACCGCUAUAUAAUUUCAAUGUUUAACAUUUCGAAAAGAUAUUCUCAAAACAAGAAUGUUCUUUUUUUCUAUGUACUUAUUACUGAUUAAGAAGGGCAGACAUCUUUUAAUAUAAAACUUUAGGUAAAUAAAUAAUUUGAUGAUAACUUACAUAUAUAUAAUUAUUAAUGUUAACAGUAGUACAUUUACAUUAAAAAUAAAUUAUAAAUUUAUUUACACACACACAAUAGAAUUGAAUAAAUAACACUUAAUUAAGUCUAUUUUUACUCUGACAUUUAUUUGAACUUUUGCCAACUCAACAACUAAUCACUUAAUUUCUGUGGCUUUUAACAUUUUUUGUUUUGAAGAUUGGUGAUUUACAUCACGAAGCCAUUAAGUUGUAUAUAUAUCUUUGUUAAUAUGUCACUGAUACAACAAUUUACUUAAUUCACAAGAGAAGAUUUUAAGGAUUAUCUGUAUUUUAAUUUUUUUUAUUGUUUCUUCUUCUGAUUGAUUCAUGCAAAUUUAGAUUGAUCACAAUAUUUUGAGGACAUUUCAGUUCAAAUCAGUAACCAAUUAAUAAAUAAUAAGUUACUCCAAUACAUAAAUUGUAAAUCAAAAUAGAUAAUAAAGUAAAUAACAAUUUUUAUAAAAAUAAAUCAAAUCAGUGCUCUUAAAGUUAAGAAUAAAUCUCAGCGCGCAAUCUCAAGGAUUUUUUGGGUUCCAUCAAGAGGGGUUUUAUUACGAAGGCGAACAUCUCUUCUUGUACAAGCGGUAACAUGCGGGAUAAGCGAACGAUAUUUCUUAUAUCUUUUUCUUUAAGAAUUAAUUGUUCAUAAUAUUGUUUGAAGAUUAUCGGCAUUUACGGUCGAAACGUUUAAUUGUUUAUGUUGGCACAACAAACUAGCAUUGCUCUUUUAACUUUUGACAAAUGUCGUUUAAUAAUUUUUUUUCCUAAAAUAUAAUAUACAAUAAGACAAAAACAGAUUUAUUUUUCUUGCCUUAAAAGAUCUGAAAAGUUUACGAUCUUUGCAAUAAUUUAAUCUAAAUAAAUAAAUUCCGAUAAAUAAAUUUAACACUGUUAACUUUUCUCGUGCACUCUGUCAAGAUGAUUGAGCUGCAUUUCUAUAUAAACGACGCAAAAGCUCUCUAUCUCGUAUCAUUUAUUAUGUACACGUCAAACAAUACCCGGAACAGUAAUAAGUCGACCGACGGCAAUUUACACGGUUGCUCAAUAUCAAUAUAUAUUUAACGACUGUCACGAAUUUAGCUGCGUUAUCUCGCGCCGGUGUUUGCUCGUGGAAUUGUGUAUGUAUAUUUUGCCGCUAAUGACACAACGACCGUGCGCGAUUAGCCUUCAAGGCCUCGGCCGCUUGGCUCCCCCAUUUCGAUAUCGCUUUUAUCCCUUCUUUCCACCGCUGAUUAGGCUACCCUACGUCCGCGAUUAUAUUUCCGAGGUUUCCGCUUAUCGCGUGAUUAUGGAUACGGCUAUAUUUCAUUCAUUCAUUAACAGAGUGUCACGUGCGUUUCAGAGCCGUAUGAAUAUAUUGCCAGCUAGACGCGCGAAAUAAAAGCUGAGAAUUGGCUUCUAACUUUUGAUGAUGAAAAUACUCAGUCUCGCAUGACAAAAUAAUUGGCGCACUUUUAUAAUAUUAAUUUUUGUUUUGUGAAAAAUUGUCUAUGCUUUCGAUUUUUUUAAGUAAACAAUUUUUUUCCAAAAUUUUUCUUGGUGCAUUUAACAAAAGAUUAAAAAUAGAAAUUUGUAUGUAAAUAGAUAUUAAAACUCUCGAAAUUGUUAAAAUUUGAAAAUAAAAGGAUUAAUGAAAGUGUACUAUUUAUUGCGCAUUGAGUGUCGCGCGUACAUUUCCAUUAGUCCUUUUAUUUUUAAAUUCAGUACGUAAUUUUGUAGCAUUGGAAAAAAUUAAAUAUAUAAUAUAUAUAUAUUGAUCAAACCAAAUAUAUUCUAAUAUAUUGAUUAAAUUAAAGCUAUCAUAUUGCCAUUUUCAUGAUUGUUAACAUUUUCGAGUUUUAUAAAAUUUUAUAAAAGCGGUAAAUCUAUAGCUGUUUGAUCCAAGACUCUUACUAAGAACUUGAGAGAAGGAACGACCGCAAGAGAGCACGGUGGGAUAAAGUUUCUGCGCGGCGCAGAAAUCUCUCCCUCUUUCACAAGAAGAAUUCUACGCGUCGUUUCGUUUUCGCCUCGACAAGGCGCCGCGAGGCAAAAAUAGACGCCGAAUUCGUACACGAGGUCGAUCCACACGAAGGUGUGUGUAAUUGGAAAGAACGGAUGGAACCAGGCCUCUCUCCUUCGUCGUUUGCGUGUGUGGUGGGUGCGUUAGCGUCGAGACGAUCGGGUUUAUAGGUGUUUACCGUGACCGGAAUACUGGCGGGAUAUUACGCGUAGGCGCCGUUACGGAUACGCGCCUCGAUGCCUCGCAGCGACAAUUCCCAAGUACCCAAAAUAAGCACUGAGACGUGUGGGUUACGCGACACGGAUAGCCGAUGGACUUUCGACAGCACAAAUGUGCGCGCUUUCGGAUAUAUAAUUUGAUCAUUUAUAUCUUCUUGAUAUUAAUAAUACUGUUUCGAUACUUAAUAAUUAUUUUUGUGGUCAGGCUGAUGAUGACUAACAAGUAAAGUCGAAACGUUUCUAAUUUAAAUUUUAUUAAUUUAUACGUUUGACGUCCUUAACCCGUUGAGGUCACACUUCCAAAUAAUAAUAUAACGGUCACAUGGAAUUCAUUGGAUUCUCUGCACAAAAUCAAUCACCAUUUGCCAGUUUUUUUAUAUUUUGUUGCAAAAAUUUUACUGGAUAUACCUUGAGGUCUAUUUUUUAUCAAUUAAUAAUUUUUUUUAAUUACGAUUUAACAUAAUGAAAAAAUUCGAAUAAAAAAACUGGAAAAUUUGUUUUUUUACAAAAAUAUUCAUAAGUUUUAAUUUUUGAGAAAAUUCAACAAAAAUUUAGGAGUGCAUUCUCAAGAUAGUAUACUUUUAGAUAAAAAUUAGUUUCAUAGAUGUUGUCCGAUUUUGAAUGGUCUGUGUAUCCUUAAAGUUAGCGUGAGGUCUUUUGGAUCACUCUUAGUGACCUCAACGGAUUGAAUAUAGCACGUCUAUGACCUUUCUUGGUUAAUUAAUUAACCUACAAUAAUAUUAUCAAUAAUAUAUCCACUACCGUUUAAAUUUGCAAAAGAAAUUUACGCAAAAGAUUUUAUUCUUGCUUUUCAAAAUUUGUUUCUAGCAGAUUUUAUAUAAAAAGACGUCAUGAAUGUAUGGACUAUAAGAUUUUUAUUUCUUUAAUUAUCUAAUUUAUUAGUAAAUCACAUUUUUAUCAAUAUUAAUAUAGCGCAAUAGUUAGUUCCCGAAAAUACGGGGAGAUGGCGCUUUAGGGAGGUAUAUGCCAGUGUUAACUUUUUUUUAUCAUUUCUGUGGUUCAAAGAAGUAUUUUGUAAGUUUAUAAAGAAAUUGUUUUAUACUUACUAAUAUUUAUUUAUAUAUGGAAAAUAAUACUAAAAUAAAUAUAUUUAUUUAAUUUAAAUUUUUAAAUUUAUAUAAUAUAAAAAAAAUUUUUUUGGUCAUUAACUAAAAUCUGGAACACCUUGUAUAUUGAUUUAAAUGUGACGAAUGUAUUUGUUUAUGUAAUGGUUUGGUAGUUAACUCAGAGGCGUAAAAAGAAUUCGUAAAGAAUUGAGAGUAUUUUUACUCAAUCAACAAUUUGCUCAAAUUGAUAGAUUGCGUCUGUUGUAUUACUGACGUUUUACGUACAUUUUUAGAUUCUACACAGUAAAUUUUCAGCUGCAUUCUAAAUGAUACUAGAUUCGCGCUGUUUGCACGUGCGUUUGCUAUAUCGACACCUGUUCAAAUCAUCAUAUCGAUCCUAACGUGAAACGACGAGAAUUGCAUAUCAUGCGAAAAUAUAUCUUUCAGGAGCACAUGAGCAUUGGCAACUAAAAAAUAUUUCAAUUUUAUGAGACAUGGAAGAUUACCGGCGAUUUAGAUUUGGAAUUUGAUUAUAAACCGAGAGACAACAUUAAAAGAAAAAUGUUUAAUUUUAAGCAAGGAUAGUAACUAGUUAAAAAAGUUAAAAUUUAAAUAAGUUACAUAAUUUAAAUAAUAAAGUUAAGAAUUUAAUAAAUGUAACUAAAUUUAGUUAAUUUUAGAUGAAUUAACUUUAAGUUUUAUUAGUUAUUUUUAACACAUAAACAUUAUCUUACUAACCUUUUUCUUAAGUUAUAAAACUUUAUCUAUGUAAAAAAAAUAAUUAUUAUGAAAGAAAAAAUGCAUUGUGCCACGUAACAAAUGAUAUGCUUCUAGCCUAUGGACCAGAUCUAGUAGGUCACGACGUCCAAGUUUUACUUGUAGAAAAAUGAAAAGAAAACUGAAUGAUUAGCGCAUAAUGCAAUUUUUUUUAACCGUUAUGUAUUAUUUUUUAUCGGAGUGUUUUCUCAAAAAACAAAUGUGAAAAAAUCUUUUUCUGUAGAAAGAUUCAUGAUAACCUCAAAUUUUACAUUUGAUCUACCUAAGAAAUCUAAUUGUAUUUCCUUGCCAUAAAAUAAAUAUUUUUUUGGAUAAUUGAUAUAAACUUAUAUAAUUUACAAAUAAAAUAUUAAAAUUAUUCAAUAAUCCGUCUUGUAAUUGUUUUGUCAUUUAAAAUAACUUUAAAACUCCUGAAUAAUCGGCUGAGAACUUCACGUUGACGGUGGCGACACAAUAUCGCGGAAGGAACUACAACUAAUAGGCGUGAAAAAUGACAUAUUCACGAUGAAACUUUAUAUUGCGUGCCAUUUUGCUAUUAUGUGCUUUAUUGUGAAAAUAAGACAUCUUAUUUUUUACCAAGUUCGUAAAAAUAGGCUGUAAGUAAAGUUAUCUUUGAGAAUUUCAUACAUAAAAGAAUAUUUCUUUCAACAGCUGUCCGCGUAUUUUCUUGUUUUAACAGUUUUAACAGGUUUCAGUUCACGUGCUUUUUACGACUAUUUACGGACUGUCGGAGGGAGAGUUUAAACCAUUUUUAUAAGAGUUUAAAAACGAUCUCAUUAUAUUUUUUUAUCCAAAUUUUCUUUAUUUACAAAUGGCAUACAAGAAACUGUAGCUCAACUAUGUGUUUCUUGUCUGAAUAGACUUCACUUUACGUCCCUUAUACAAUUAUUUACUGACUUUCAAAAGAGAAAAGGAUAAUUUAGUCACAUUUUUAUAAGUAUUGGAAAGCAAUCUCAUUACUUUUUUUAUCUUAAUUUUUUUUAUUUACUAAUGCUACGCAAUAAAUUUCAAUAUAUCAUUUUUGUCGCUUAUGAUGGACACGAUUUCAAUAUAACCGCAACGACUACUCGGAAACCCUUUAAAAAAAUUAUGAUA